CCAAUAGCGUAUAUUAAAGUUGUUGCAGUUAAAAAGCUCGUAGUUGGAUUUCAAGAAACGCAUCCGGGAAAUCGGGUUGCUUUCUACCAGUCUUUGACUGUUACUGUGAGAAAAUUAGAGUGUUUCAAGCAGGCUUUGCAGGAAUACAUUAGCAUGGAAUAACGCGUGUGUUUACAAUUUGGUUGAUUGUAGAUUACGAUUAAUAGGGACAGUUGGGGGCAUUAGUAUUUAAUAGUCAGAGGUGAAAUUCUUGGAUUUGUUAAAGACUAACGUAUGCGAAAGCAUUUGCCAAGGAUGUUUUCAUUAA
rnacentral:rRNA from 1 species